rnacentral:tRNA from 1 species
UGUGCACUAGCUCAGUCGGCCGAGCAGGUGGCUGUUAACCACCGCGAGCCAGGUUCGAUCCCUGGGUGCACAG